UAACAAAGAAGAAAAGCAGGAGGAAUGCAGGGGCGAAGAUAAGGCGAUCCAAGAACAAGCGUUUCACCAUGCAGUAUGGAACAGUGCAACUCAUUGGUCUUGGAGAAGUGCUUGCAUCCGAAGAACCCUCGAUGAGCAGACAAAGGGGAGGGGUGUACAGUGUGGAGGACAUGGUGACGUUUCUACAGAGGAAAAGACAAAAGAUCGUUAAGCUGAGGCCCCCCACAGCAUGAAGACGAGGCCCUCCAGGUUGGUGCUGAGCCACUGCACUACAGUGUCAGUGAAGGUUUCCCAGCCCUUGUCUUUGUG